rnacentral:lncRNA from 1 species
CAGGCUCCUCAAGUACUUGGGACUUCAGAUUCUCAUUUUACAUUUUAUAUUUUUAAAAUUAUGAAGUAGAAAGCAUCAUUCUGUAUCCUGUCAAAAAUGAAGUCUCCCGACGGGAGCAUAGACCUCUGAGGAAGGGGCUCCUGCAUGAGCUGUGAGCAGCAGUUUGAGAAGUGAUUUCCCUAGUUUUUGUUUUGCUUUUUUCCCCCUUUGUUUGCCUCAUCCCCGAGUACCUCUUCUUUCUGUUUAACAUGUGCCUGUGUGGGGAGGAGGGGAGCAUUUAUGUUAUUCCCCUGAAAUGCUUUGUAUAACCUGUUUCAAAACCCAUUUCUUCUGGGCAUGGUUGCACAGGCCUUUAACCCUAGCACUGCAGAAGCAGAGGCAGCCAUACUCUGUGAGUUCAAGGCCUACGUAAUGAGUUCCCAAUCAGCCAGGGCUAUGGAGAGAGACCUUGUCUCAAAAGAAGAAAAAGAAAAAAAUUGUUUGGCUUUUAUCAAUCCAUUGCACAAGUGGCAGAUGUGAGCACUUGUACCUGUGUGGGGGAGGGGGAAAAAAGGAUCACUUGUCCUUCAGUAGGCUCCCAAAGUCAUUAACAUGUACGUUAAAGGGAAAAUAGAAGUUGCCAAAGUCAGUAUUCGGUCCUGGGUUUUCUUGUGACUUCACUGCGUCUACUAAGAGAUGAGAAGCUUCCUUACCUGCUGACUGAUCCUGCCUGUGUGCAAUGGCUUUCACCUGUCUGCCAGUUUGCUCAAUUGGGUCUUCUCUGUCAGCUGAAAGCAGUGAGGGAAAUUACACUUUUGUUGUUAGUUAACAUCUCAUAUUUUGUACCCUAUGGUAACUGUGUUGCUGCCAAUAACCAAGAUGCUAAAUGAUUACUGCUGGCUAAAAGACCUUUUUAUAUACAAAGACGUGUGUAUUUUCAACUGAUAUGGCAAGUUCAUGUGUGUCCAUUUGAAUAUUACACAAUAAACACAUACUGUGGAUUCCAUCUUCACUUUGUGUUCUUUGAAUAACGUCCUUGAGAUUGUUUACGUCUGUGUUUACCUGUAAUGAACUCUGUGGACCUGUGAAAUAUCCAAGUGUCAACAUCCACUAGUCAGUCUCUUUAGCUUCUGUGACUUGGAGCUCCUAACACUAAGGGAUUAGUGUUCGUUUUCCCCAGGGGUAUUUGACUAGGGCAUUACUGUUUAAUGACUUCAAGACAUAUUUUAAGGACUUUGUUUAUUGACCAAUGUCUUAUUGCAAAGUAUGAGCCUACCAGUCGUGGUUACCCUGUACAGAGAUAGCUGUUAACGAGUCGUAGUGUAUGUGAGAUCGCUUGUAACAUUUAAGCUGCUUUCUGAUGUGUGCUGGUGGGACAGUUUUUGUACACUGUAUUUACUAGAACUUUGCCUUUUUAAUCUUACAGAUACUUUAGAAUUCAAAUAUGUUUUCUGCUUCUGUAAGAAUGUGGGAAAGCUUUUAAUAAUGGCAUUCCAAAUUGAUUUCAGGUCUUGCUUGAGGUUGACUUUAAUAAAUUGUCCUGUAUGGUCUACUU